rfam:Eutrema salsugineum unplaced genomic scaffold scaffold_3, whole genome shotgun sequence.
AAACCAUGAUGGGGACAUUUGUUUGUGUAGCUCCUAAAUAUCUCCCAUGCUUCCCCAAUGUUUUCAUUGUUGUGUUGGAUAAAGCUUGAGAUUUGGUUCCUCAACUU